rnacentral:misc_RNA from 1 species
AUAUAAAUAUGUAUUCCACCUCCCAUGAGUUACAGAAGACCAUACAUAUAUGUCAGAGCAAGCAACCAACAUGUCCCCUCAGCCUACACUAUCAUGGUGAUUCUAGGUAGGCAUACCUACAUGGAAUGACAAACCAAUGGGUAGUUUAUAAAUAAGUAGUAGUUAUUGAAUCUGACAAAAAUUGUAACUGCCUUUAAAAUAAAGAGAUAAGGAUAAGUAAAAAUAACUUUUAUGUCUUGCGUGUAAAUCACUAUUAGUUUGUCAUUUUAUGUAAAUCUGCCUACAUGGAAUCACGGUGCUAACAUAAAAUUAUUCCAUAAAAAGAGGCCAUAGUAAUCAUUUGAUCCUUUCACCCACAAGUCAAAAAUUUCAUCAAGACUUGCUUAAAUUUACAGUGGUUUUCUUGAACCUUGAAACUGGAUUCUUGCACAAGAAUGCGACAUAGAUGGGAGCAUUUCUGUUGGAUAGCGAUCAUCCUUCUCAUUGCUGCACAGAUGAUCACCAACAUAUUCAUUGGAAAGUAGAAAUCUUCAUUAUUGAUCAAUUCUCAAUAAUGAAUUCUUGAAUUUCUAUUCCUGUAUGGCGGGCUGCACCUUGUAUCCGCAAUAAAACUUCAUCUCCAACUUUUAAUGCAGUCACAGGAAUAGCUACUUUUUGCAGUCCACUUCCUUCGCAUGGAGGCACUAAGGCAACUGUCUCUGCAUUCUGUAGGAAGAUACUGUAAUGCAUUUGAUCAUCGGAAUCUAUCUUUGCCUCUACAAGGAUAAGGGGUCUAGUCUCUAUCUUUACACGGCCAACAAUUGCUGUUCGCAGCUGACCUUUUUGGUCAACUAUCAUUACUUCUUUGCCAGCUUUUAACUCGGAAAGGUAGCAAGUCUUUCCUCCUGGAAUAGAGAUAUAUGCAUGUACUGGUCCUGCAUUGACACGAAAAGGCCUGCUAGCAAUAUAAUUUGACUCCAAGCAUUCUGAGUGAACAAGGAAUAGUCCUCUAGCAAAGGAACCAACCAGAAGUCCUUGACCAGAUUUCAUGAGGCUGCAGAGAUCUACACAAACACGAUCACCCAUUCCAGCUACUUGAAUUUUAGUUACAGUUCCUUUUGUCAAGCUCAACAUAUUGCUUGACUCAUUCCUUCUGUCAAAAUACUCCUUGAGCUCAAUGACAGCUUCAGCAUCCUCAACUUUUAGAACAACUCCACCCAAACCUUGCUCCAGGGCCUGAAGGAAGAUUUGUGCUUCAGAAGGUGUAUUUGAGAUAGCAAACACAGUUUUUUGACUGCCUUGGAAUGCUGCAAUAAUAUUCUCUGCAGGUAUUAUCUGCCAAUCCAGUAAAUCAAUAACAAUAUUCUCAGCCUGGGCAUUUUCUGGUUGAAGUUGCUGUAGCUCUUCAGGAGUUGAAACCUGAAAAAUCGUGGCAACCCUAUUGUUCCCAUCAUCUAAAACCUCUCCUUCUUUAAUAAAGAGGGGAUAUAUCAAUGCAAUUGCUGUACAUCCCAUAACCAAAACAUCAAAAUGAGAAAAAUUUGCACACUAUAUUCGCUAUGAUAAAAACAAUCAUCUUUCAGCAAAAACAUAUAAUUAGUGAGGAGAUAUUGGUAUUUUCUUUUGCAUUGAGCUUACAUUAGAUAAGAAUUGAACAUCAUGCACUCAAUCUUGAUUAAAACAAAGCAGAAGAUGAUGAUUAGAAGGGUUUACAUGACCAGUCAUUGGCAAGUUCUCGAUGUUCAGACCGGAAGAUGAAGUUGUUCCAGCCUCUUUCAACAGCAGCAGUCAUGACUUGCUUGUUUUGUGUCCAUAUCCACACUCUCUUCGAUUUCUCAUAGGCACCUGAUGAAAUUCUUGAUGCAUAAUCUGAAGAAGCAGAAGACAUUGUCAUAAGAAGAGCUCUAUGGUGCCACUGGUUUGCCUUAUUGCUGUUUGCUUUUCUUGAACGAGUGUCCCACGAAAUUAGAUUGCAAACGUUCAAUCUUUCUGC